rnacentral:rRNA from 1 species
UACGUAGGGGGCAAGCGUUGUCCGGAAUCAUUGGGCGUAAAGCGCGCGUAGGCGGCUCGAUCAGUCUGCUGUGAAAGUCAAAGGCUCAACCUUUGAAUGCCGGUGGAUACUGUCGAGCUAGAGUCCGGAAGAGGCGGGUGGAAUUCCUGGUGUAGCGGUGGAAUGCGCAGAUAUCAGGAAGAACACCCGUGGCUAAGGCGGCUCUCUAGUACGGUACUGACGCUGAGACGCGAAAGCGUGGGGAGCGAACAGG